rnacentral:rRNA from 1 species
AAUCGAACUCGGAGAUAGCUGGUUCUCCCCGAAAUAGCUUUAGGGCUAGCGUUAUUUUAGAUUACCGGAGGUAAAGCACUGAAUGGUCUAGGGGCCGCGAGGUUACCAAAGCCUAUCAAACUCUGAAUGCCGGAUAAUUGAUGAAUAGCAGUCAGACUGUGUGAGAUAAGUCUCAUAGUCAAAAGGGAAACAGCCCAGAUCUACAGCUAAGGUCCCAAAUGAACACUAAGUGGAAAAUGAUGUGAAACUGCGAAGACAACCAGGAUGUUGGCUUAGAAGCAGCCACUCAUUCAAAGAGUGCGUAAUAGCUCACUGGUCGAGUGGUUUUGCGCAGAAAAUGUAACGGGGCUAAGUGUUCAACCGAAGCUUAGGCAUUGCAGUAAUGCAUUGGGUAGGGGAGCGUCGUAUGCGGGGCGAAGUCAGAGCGGAAGCACUGGUGGACUGCAUACGAGUGAGAAUGCCGGAAUAAGUAGCGAGAAUUAUGUGAGAAUCAUAAUGGCCGAAAAUCUAAGGUUUCCUGGGGAAGGUUCGUCCGCCCAGGGUUAGUCGGGAGCUAAGCUCAGGCCGAAAGGCGUAGGCGAUGCACAUACGGUAGAAAUUCCGUAACCACCGAACUUUAAGCUAGAGGGACGCUUUCUUUAAGGUUAUCCCGGGCGAUGGUUGCCCCGGGCGUAAGGGACCGAAAUUUAGUAGGGAAGUAACUGGCGAGAGAGACGAGAAAAGCUCUAGUGUAUACUAAGGUGCCCGUACCGCAAACCGACACAGGUAGAAGGGAUGAGUAUUCUAAGGCCAACGGGAGAAGGGUUGUUAAGGAACUCGGCAAAUUGGCCCCGUAACUUCGGGAUAAGGGGCGCCUGCGAGAGCAGGCCGCAGUGAAAAGGCCCAAGCGACUGUUUAGCAAAAACACAGCUCUCUGCUAAAUCGAAAGAUGACGUAUAGGGGGUGACGCCUGCCCGGUGCUGGAAGGUUAAGGGGAGUGCUUAGCGCAAGCGAAGGUGCGAACUUAAGCCCCAGUAAACGGCGGCCGUAACUAUAACGGUCCUAAGGUAGCGAAAUUCCUUGUCAGGUAAGUUCUGACCCGCACGAAAGGCGUAAUGAUUUGGGCACUGUCUCAACAGCCCGCCCGGCGAAAUUGUAGUACCGGUGAAGAUGCCGGUUUCCCGCAACUAGACGGAAAGACCCCAUGGAGCUUCACUGUAGCUUGAUAUUGGACUUCGGUAUUCCAUGUACAGGAUAGGUGGGAGGCUUGGAAGUGAGUGCGCCAGCAUUCAUGGAGCCAUCCUUGGGAUACCACUCUUGGGAUAUUGGAGUUCUAACCUGCGACCAUGAAUCUGGUCGGGGGACAUUGUCAGGUGGGCAGUUUGACUGGGGCGGUCGCCUCCAAAAGAGUAACGGAGGCGCUCAAAGGUUCGUUCAGCACGGACGGAAAUCGUGCACUGAGUGUAAACGCAUAAACGAGCCUAACUGCGAGAAUGACGGUUCGAGCAGUAACGAAAGUUGGAGUUAGUGAUCCGGCGGUAUGUGAAUGGAAAUGCCGUCGCUCAACGGAUAAAAGCUACCCUGGGGAUAACAGGCUGAUCUCCCCCAAGAGUCCACAUCGACGGGGAGGUUUGGCACCUCGAUGUCGGCUCAUCGCAUCCUGGGGCUGAAUUCGGUCCCAAGGGUUUGGCUGUUCGCCAAUUAAAGCGGUACGCGAGCUGGGUUCAGAACGUCGUGAGACAGUUCGGUCCCUAUCUGUUGCGGGCGCAGGAAUAUUGAGAGGAGCUGUCCUUAGUACGAGAGGACCGGGAUGGACGUACCGCUGGUGCACCAGUUGUUCUGCCAAGGGCAUAGCUGGGUAGCUAAGUACGGACGAGAUAAACGCUGAAGGCAUCUAAGCGUGAAACUCCCCUCGAGAUAAGUGUUCCCAUCCUUCGGGAGUAAGGCCCCUUGU